GCCCUGGUGGUGUAAUGGCGUAGAGCAUCCCUGCCCGGUCAGCAGGAGGUGCAGGUUCGAAUCCCGCCUGGCGCA
rnacentral:tRNA from 1 species